rnacentral:rRNA from 1 species
AUUGAACGCUGGCGGCAUGCUUUACACAUGCAAGUCGAACGGCAGCGCGGGCUUCGGCCUGGCGGCGAGUGGCGAACGGGUGAGUAAUGCAUCUGAACGUGCCCAGUAGUGGGGGAUAGCCCGGCGAAAGCCGGAUUAAUACCGCAUACGACCUGAGGGUGAAAGCGGGGGACCGAAAGGCCUCGCGCUAUUGGAGCGGCCGAUGUCGGAUUAGCUAGUUGGUGGGGUAAAGGCUUACCAAGGCGACGAUCCGUAGCUGGUCUGAGAGGACGACCAGCCACACUGGGACUGAGACACGGCCCAGACUCCUACGGGAGGCAGCAGUGGGGAAUUUUGGACAAUGGGGGCAACCCUGAUCCAGCCAUGCCGCGUGCGGGAAGAAGGCCUUCGGGUUGUAAAACGCUUUUGUUCGGGAAGAAAUCCUCUGGGCUAAUACCCCGGGGGGAUGACGGUACCGGAAGAAUAAGCACCGGCUAACUACGUG